GGGUUGUGAGGUUAAGCGACUAAGCGUACACGGUGGAUGCCCUGGCAGUCAGAGGCGAUGAAGGGCGUGCUAAUCUGCGAUAAGCGCCGGUAAGGUGAUAUGAACCGUUAUAACCGGCGAUACCCGAAUGGGGAAACCCAGUGUGAUUCGUCACACUAUCAUUAACUGAAUCCAUAGGUUAAUGAGGCGAACCGGGGGAACUGAAACAUCUAAGUACCCCGAGGAAAAGAAAUCAACCGAGAUUCCCCCAGUAGCGGCGAGCGAACGGGGAGGAGCCCAGAGCCUGAAUCAGCAUGUGUGUUAGUGGAAGCGUCUGGAAAGGCGCGCGAUACAGGGUGACAGCCCCGUACACAAAAGCGCAUGUGCUGUGAGCUCGAUGAGUAGGGCGGGACACGUGGUAUCCUGUCUGAAUAUGGGGGGACCAUCCUCCAAGGCUAAAUACUCCUGACUGACCGAUAGUGAACCAGUACCGUGAGGGAAAGGCGAAAAGAACCCCGGCGAGGGGAGUGAAAAAGAACCUGAAACCGUGUACGUACAAGCAGUGGGAGCACAGGUUUACCUGUGUGACUGCGUACCUUUUGUAUAAUGGGUCAGCGACUUAUAUUCUGUAGCAAGGUUAACCGUAUAGGGGAGCCGGAGGGAAACCGAGUCUUAACCGGGCGUUAAGUUGCAGGGUAUAGACCCGAAACCCGGUGAUCUAGCCAUGGGCAGGUUGAAGGUUGGGUAACACUAACUGGAGGACCGAACCGACUAAUGUUGAAAAAUUAGCGGAUGACCUGUGGCUGGGGGUGAAAGGCCAAUCAAACCGGGAGAUAGCUGGUUCUCCCCGAAAGCUAUUUAGGUAGCGCCUCGUGAAUUCAUCUCCGGGGGUAGAGCACUGUUUCGGCUAGGGGGCCAUCCCGGCUUACCAACCCGAUGCAAACUGCGAAUACCGGAGAAUGUUAUCACGGGAGACACACGGCGGGUGCUAACGUCCGUCGUGAAGAGGGAAACAACCCAGACCGCCAGCUAAGGUCCCAAAGUCAUGGUUAAGUGGGAAACGAUGUGGGAAGGC
rnacentral:rRNA from 9 species